rnacentral:lncRNA from 1 species
UUUUUUCUUACUUUUAGCAAUAGUUUUCUGUACUGAUAAAAAUCUUUCUUCCCUUUAGAAUGGAUGACUGAUGUGUACCAACGUAACGGGUUGUGGGUUCCUGAACCGCCGGCUCCAUGGAACCCACCGGGACCAAAAUGGAGUGAAGAAAAAGAGCACAAAAACCAACCAAUGUUGAUGAUCACUGAAUUCAAAAUAACUCACUUGAUACGGACGCAGUAAUAUUGGACCAC